rnacentral:rRNA from 1 species
UGCAGUCGAACGAUGAAGCCCAGCUUGCUGGGUGGAUUAGUGGCGAACGGGUGAGUAACACGUGAGUAACCUGCCCUUAACUCUGGGAUAAGCCUGGGAAACUAGGUCUAAUACCGGAUAGGAGCGCCUACCGCAUGGUGGGUGUUGGAAAGAUUUAUCGGUUUUGGAUGGACUCGCGGCCUAUCAGCUUGUUGGUGAGGUAAUGGCUCACCAAGGCGACGACGGGUAGCCGGCCUGAGAGGGUGACCGGCCACACUGGGACUGAGACACGGCCCAGACCCCUACGGGAGGCAGCAGUGGGGAAUAUUGCACAAUGGGCGAAAGCCUGAUGCAGCGACGCCGCGUGAGGGAUGACGGCCUUCGGGUUGUAAACCUCUUUCAGUAGGGAAGAAGCGAAAGUGACGGUACCUGCAGAAGAAGCACCGGCUAACUACGUGCCAGCA